GCUUUGCAAAAUGGAUUCACCAGUGACAAACAAGGAAACGGGCGUAUCCAUAUGCUUUGCAAGCCUUAAACAAAGCCAACAAACUGAUGUCAGACAGCCAGGCUUCUGAAGCUGCUGCCAUUGCCUGCAAACAAGAACAUCCUGUUGAAAUGUCAAUGAAGGGUCACUGAAACACACCGAGGCCCCUCCAUUAUCUGCCAAGCGUUACACUGUUAGACGGUUCCCAGCUCCAGAUAUUCACAGUGACUGAAACACCGUCAUGCAGAGUGUGUGCUACAACCUUCAAAAAUGACUUCAAUGAACUCAACAUCAGAGCAAACUCAGGAGGCACCAGGCAUCACAGACGUAGCAGCUCAUACUAGAACUGUUGAGGCUUCUUGAUCACAUUCUGCAUUUGUAUUAUACUUCUGUUUAAUUAUAAUACAUGCAUUUGUUUUUAAAUGUAUAGUAUACAUUUGUGUCUAUCUUCAGUAUGAUCAUGUUGUAAAAAACGUAAGAGGACGAUUGUGGAUAUUUUUCUGCAAAUAAAUAGAAAUGCUUUGCCUUAAUUUCAUUGUUUAACUUUGUUUUUCUUUGUUUAUGUCUGUUUAACAUUUUGGUCAGUGAGAAUUGUUUUGUCAUUAGAAUAACUCCUAUUUGGCUUUAAUUGUGUAAAUAUUAUUUUUAAUUGUCUGUGAUUAAUUAAGAUCCACAAUUGCUGCACUUUUUUUUCUUCUCCUUCACAUCUCAUUUCACUUUGAAAACUCACAAACAGCUCAGUGAACAAGCCAGAAGUAAUCUGAAUCUCAUUUAUGAUUUCUUAUUUAAUUUUUUAAAUCUAUAAUAAGUUCCUUUUUUCUGUGGUUAAGUUCAUGUUAUAAUCUUCAAUCUACCUCUAAAAACAGGGCUGUAUCUAAAAGGAAGCCAGCUACCCUUCGUUUAAGAAAGUAGGAAAAUUAAAAAAGACACAAAACAGUUUAGAAAUGCAAGAUAGUGGAAUUUAAAAUGUAAUAUAAAAGGUGCAAUUACUUGUAAUAAACUACAGAAUUUCUGAGAUAUAAUUUCAUAACUUUUGACAGCUCUUAUUGAGACCUGUAAAAAUUCCUUCAAAACUGACAUUAUAAAAGCAAAGCAGACUGAAAUGAAACGAUUGCAUUUAUGUCUUCCUGAAGUUCUAUCCUUUGUCUAUGCUCAGUCAUAUGUUUUGUUCCAUCCAAGGUCUGAACUGCAACAUUUUCAUUGUAUUAAUUUUUUUAAAUUCUGAUUGCAGUUUUACAAUACAGAAGUGGUUGUUGGUUCCAUGGCUGGACCAGUUGAGAACCACUGGUCUAAUGUGUUUUGAAAAUGUUCUGUGACCUG